CGGGGGGAGCAAGCGUUGUUCGGAUUUACUGGGCGUAAAGGGGGCGUAGGCGGCCACCGCAAGUCGGUUGUGAAAUCUCCGGGCUUAACCCGGAAAGGUCAAUCGAUACUGCGGGGCUAGAGUGCAGAAGGGGCAACUGGAAUUCUCGGUGUAGCGGUGAAAUGCGUAGAUAUCGAGAGGAACACCUGCGGCGAAGGCGGGUUGCUGGGCUGACACUGACGCUGAAGCGCGAAAGCUAGGGGAGCGAACGGGAUUAGAUACCCCGGUAGUCCUAGCCUUAAACGAUGAAUGCUUGGUGUCUGGGGUUUUAUAGUCCCCGGGUGCCGUCGCUAACGCUUUAAGCAUUCCGCCUGGGGAGUACGGUCGCAAGACUG
rnacentral:rRNA from 1 species